rnacentral:rRNA from 1 species
GGGGAAUAUUGCACAAUGGGCGCAAGCCUGAUGCAGCGACGCCGCGUGGGGGAUGACGGCCUACGGGUUGUAAACUCCUUUCGCUAGGGACGAAGCUUUUUGUGACGGUACCUAGAUAAGAAGCACCGGCUAACUACGUGCCAGCAGCCGCGGUAAUACGUAGGGUGCGAGCGUUGUCCGGAAUUACUGGGCGUAAAGGGCUCGUAGGUGGUUUGUCGCGUCGUCUGUGAAAUUCCGGGGCUUAACUCCGGGCGUGCAGGCGAUACGGGCAUAACUUGAGUACUGUAGGGGUAACUGGAAUUCCUGGUGUAGCGGUGAAAUGCGCAGAUAUCAGGAGGAACACCGAUGGCGAAGGCAGGUUACUGGGCAGUUACUGACGCUGAGGAGCGAAAGCAUGGGUAGCGAACAGGAUUAGAUACCCUGGUAGUCCAUGCCGUAAACGGUGGGCGCUAGGUGUGAGGGUCUUUUCACGACUUUCGUGCCGUAGCUAACGCAUUAAGCGCCCCGCCUGGGGAGUACGGCCGCAAGGCUA